AGGAAAAUGGCACUGCCCCGGUGUGAGGAGAGGAAAAGAGGAGGUGAUGAAGUGCCAGAGGAGGACAGCCAGGGAAUUAACAUCUGGAUUGAAAAUUCAGGCCUAAGCUGCAAAAGGAUUUUUGGAUGCAAAGUUCAUAUUUGAGCUCAUUACAGAUGGAACUGCCUGGAUCUGAGCCUGUUUUCCAUGAAAUAUCGUAUCUCUGUGGCCUGUAACAAAGACAGUUGUCAACCAGGAACAACUCCCCCCGCAAUAUAGCUAUGUUUGGAUCUGGGAAGGCUACCCCAGUGUGACAGGACACCAACGAUAAUCAGGGAAUGCUAAUACGGAGUAAAAACAUUAGAAAGUAACCUCCCCGGCACAAGUGUACAUAUAGUUAGAUCAUUAACACAGGAGAAGCCUCCAUUGCUGAAAUAAAACUUCCAAAUCCUUGAAAUGCUAUUGCAGAGUUGGGAGUAGGAGCUCUCCGCCUGACUCAUUGCUGAGGCUCUCUGCUCGGCAAGGAAAGGUUUGCUGCCUGAAGGGGAUGUGUUGGUCUGUGAACACUUCAGAUGCAUGAUUGUCUUCAAUUAUGUGCACAGUCCCACCACUACACAGAGCAAGUAUAAAGAGAAGUCUAUGCUUGACUGUCUUUCUAGGAUGGGAGGCUGUUUGUUUUCCUUUAACAUUCCAAUCCACCUGGGAAUGAAACUCAGCUGCACUAUUUCAUCUCCUGGUUCCAGCCAGCUGCACUUUCUGAAUUUCAUGCAUUCGCACAGAGAUGCUGGUUUGAAUUCCCAGCAGCAGCAGCAGCAGCAGAGUGAUACUGGGGAAUCAUUCUUACCAAAUCUCCAAUGCUAAACCAGUUAGAAACAGGCAUUCCGAGUCCAACACAGCAUAGACAACCCCACCU
rnacentral:lncRNA from 1 species